UGAGCAACCUGCCCUUGACACUGGAAUAACAGUUGGAAACAGCUGCUAAUACCGGAUAUGACCUCUGACGACAUCGUCUGGAGGUGGAAAGCUCCGGCGGUCAAGGAUGGGCUCGCGGCCUAUCAGCUAGUUGGUGUGGGUAAUGGCCCACCAAGGCGACGACGGGUAGCCGACCUGAGAGGGUGAUCGGCCACACUGGAACUGAAACNCGGUCCAGACUCCGUAGGAG
rnacentral:rRNA from 1 species